AGCGCAGGCGGUUUGAUAAGUCUGAAGUAAAAAGGCUGUGGCUUAACCAUAGUAUGCUUUGGAAACUGUCAAACUUGAGUGCAGAAGGGGAGAGUGGAAUUCCAUGUGUAGCGGUGAAAUGCGUAGAUAUAUGGAGGAACACCGGUGGCGAAAGCGGCUCUCUGGUCUGUAACUGACGCUGAGGCUCGAAAGCGUGGGGAGCAAACA
rnacentral:rRNA from 1 species